AGUUCGGAUUGUAGUCUGCAACCCGACUACAUGAAGCUGGAAUCGCUAGUAAUCGCGGAUCAGAAUGCCGCGGUGAAUACGUUCCCGGGUCUUGUACACACCGCCCGUCACACCAUGGGAGUCGGAAAUGCCCGAAGUCUGUGACCCAACCGCGAGGAGGGAGCAGCCGAAGGCAGGUCGGAUGACUGGGGUGAAGUCGUAACAAGGUAUC
rnacentral:rRNA from 1 species